rnacentral:rRNA from 1 species
UACGUAGGGUGCAAGCGUUAAUCGGAAUUACUGGGCGUAAAGCGUGCGCAGGCGGUUGUGCAAGACAGAUGUGAAAUCCCCGGGCUCAACCUGGGUACUGCAUUUGUGACUGCACGGCUGGAGUGCGGCAGAGGGGGAUGGAAUUCCGCGUGUAGCAGUGAAAUGCGUAGAUAUGCGGAGGAACACCGAUGGCGAAGGCAAUCCCCUGGGCCUGCACUGACGCUCAUGCACGAAAGCGUGGGGAGCAAACAGG